ACUCAGGAUUUGCCUAUAAAUAAUGGGGUAACGCGUAAUGGAGACUUCAAAAAUCUAUAAAUAAUGGCCAUUAUAUUGUAUAUGUGCCUUUAUUUGAAACCAUGGUAUUGAGUAUUGAAUACUUAGAUGGUCAUGAGGGACAUGUUUAUAUGGUGAGUGAAAUUGAAAUGGGACGUUAAGGUAGAUGUUGAAAAUAAAAGAGAGAACCAAGUAACAAAAAAGGUGCAUUCAGAGCAAGGUGGAAGUGGCAUUCAUUGAUAAGUUAGCAAUUUCUACUGAUAUAGUAUGGCCAUGUCAAAUUUUUAGAUGUAUGGAAUAUGGAUGCAACGUCUUGAAGUGAAUAAAGUUAUGAUGGCAAAUAAGAGAACAAAUGCUGAAUGCAGGUUAAAAGUGUUAAGAAAAAUGUUCAAGUUUGAUAGUAUUUCUCAGGAAGUUUGGCCUAAAUGGAAAAAGAAAGGCAACUCUACUUAGUUUGGGACUAUUAAUUAGUUUAGUAGAGUAGCACACCUCUUUGUCUAUCUUCUGUUGGAUAUUGGAACUUUACCGAAAAUUGUUGCCCCCUAGUGAUUUGCAAUCCAUAUCGGAUAAUUUCAUUCACACAGAUAUCAGAUAAUUUCAUUAUUAUUAUGCUGCAAAUUUUGGGAUUUGGAUAUGUUUUACAGCAUUGAAGUUGUUAAUGUGGCAAUUUUAAUUGAAACUAAUUUAUUAUACUUACAGGAAACUCAAAAUUUUCGUGUUUAUUAUUUGUUUAUUUCAAUGGGUAAUUUUUUUUCCAGUAUGCAAUCUACAAAAUCAUUUUAUAUUUUUGGAUAAUAUUAUUUUGAUUAACACUAAGCAAUCUGAAAAAGCCUACUAAAUUUCUAAACAAGUUUGUUUUAAUUACAGUUUUUAUUCUACAUACUAGAGCAAUUGAUACGCUAGGUGAAUGAGGGUUACUGUUAAGUUUUCUGGAAUUAAGUUUAUUAUCUUUUAAUGUUCUUUAACAGUUUGUAGUUGUACGAUAAAUUCUAUAUAGCUUGUUAGAAUUCCCGUUAGAAAUUUAAUGAAAAAGAACUUGUAUUUAAUACAGCAUGUUGGUUAAUAUUUUCAUUGUUGAUACAGGGAUGCCAAGGAAAGAUUGACU
rnacentral:misc_RNA from 1 species